GAUUAUAGAACAUUUAUGCAAUAUAAAGAGGAGAAACAGGAAAGGGAGGGACCCAUAAAAGACUAAACAAAAAGCCAUUCAUACAGUAGCUCAGCAAAUUUAAGGAAUGUUCAUUACAGAGCAAAAAUUUUACUCAGAGAAGAAAACAUACCAUAGACACUUGUUUUGGAAGUAGGAUACAUCAGAGGAAGACCUUGAGAGUGAGGGUAGCUGUUCCUCUCCUGGAAGAUAAGGCACCUGAAUUCUGGAACGGGUUGCUGGUAAUGGAGCCUGUUACUGUGGGGGAGGAGCUUCUUUUGCUUUCUUGUUAAAAAGUCUGUUGGUGUUUUUCUCAAUCUCAGCACUCUCUGCACUUUGACUGUGCUCCCCUUUGUUUUCAGAUUGUACAUGCGUAGAUGAGUCGAAAAACACAGUUUUUCAUGGCGCUCUAGUGGCUGUGCUGGCUCAUUUACCAGAAGUAAUGUACAGUGCAUUAACUCUGGAAGUGUAAACUCGAUUUUGACCAAACUAAGCCUCCCAGAGCAAAAUAUACAUUAGGAGGCUUUGUAUUGUGUCCUAGGCAUCUUAUUU